AGUGAACGCUGGCGGUAGGCCUAACACAUGCAAGUCGAACGGCAGCACAGUAAGAGCUUGCUCUUACGGGUGGCGAGUGGCGGACGGGUGAGGAAUACAUCGGAAUCUACUUUUUCGUGGGGGAUAACGUAGGGAAACUUACGCUAAUACCGCAUACGACCUACGGGUGAAAGCAGGGGAUCUUCGGACCUUGCGCGAUUGAAUGAGCCGAUGUCGGAUUAGCUAGUUGGCGGGGUAAAGGCCCACCAAGGCGACGAUCCGUAGCUGGUCUGAGAGGAUGAUCACCCACACUGGAACUGAGACACGAUCCAGACACCUACGGGAGGCAGCAGUGGCGAAUAUUGGACAAUGGGCGCAAGCCUGAUCCAGCCAUACCGCGUGGGUGAAGAAGGCCUUCGGGUUGUAAAGCCCUUUUGUUGGGAAAGAAAAGCAGCAGGUUAAUACCCCGCUGUUCGGACGGUACCCAAAGAAUAAGCACCGGCUAACUUCGU
rnacentral:rRNA from 1 species